rnacentral:rRNA from 1 species
GAUCCUGGCUCAGGAUGAACGCUGGCGGCGUGCUUAAUACAUGCAAGUCGAACGAAGCACCUUGGACAGAAUCCUUCGGGAGGAAGACCAUUGUGACUGAGUGGCGGACGGGUGGGUAACGCGUGGGUAACCCGCCUUGUACAGGGGGAUAACAGUUGGAAACGACUGCUAAUACCGCAUAAGCGCACAGUACCGCAUGGUACGGUGUGAAAAACUCCGGUGGUACAAGAUGGACCCGCGUCUGAUUAG